UUUUAAAGACUUAUAUAAGUUUAUACCAUUAAUUAAACUUUGGGACAUUGACAUGGGCUAGGGGAGAUGACUGGAUAGAAAGCACUAUUCUAUUAAUUUACCUCUUAGUACUACAAAA
rnacentral:snoRNA from 1 species